GCUAACCUGGCAAACAAUGUAUGGCGUUAUUUAUUAAGUCUUUAUUUUUAUUGUUGAAUAAACAUAAAAGGUUCCACUUUUAGAUGACCUUGCGGGUAAUGGGGGCAGAUGAUGUCAAUCUCACCUGUUUUUACGAGCCCAUUGUUGACAAGUGGACAGCACAACGACCCACCGCCUUUACUACCCCAGCGUACCAGUUGGAAUCGGGUGAACUCAGGCGUUUUAAAAAUACCAAACUUUAAAAUCCUUGUCUUCGAACUUGAAACCACUCGAUUCGAAAGUCAAGCUCUUAACCACUCGGCCACAAUGUCCCCGUUUCGUAAUUCUUUAUAUAUUGAGUUUGUUAUAACAAAGCUUAACUAAAAUGGGCUUUUCAUAUUUUAUUUUUAAUAGUAAUCGUCAAGGACUGGGAAAUGUAUGCUGCAAAGUUGGCACCUCACAGUAUCUUUACUUCAUCAUUACAUCACAGAGAUUUGAUUUGGAGGACUCUUACAUUUCCAGUCUGAAAUAGUAUUCAGUGAUGAGCUCCUACGGAUGACGCAAGUGUUCAGUUCUGCCCUCUAUCACAGUAAAGGUAAGCUGACAAUUUUUAGACUAGUACCUAGAAAUAUUUCUUAAUGCCUUUUUUUGUUCACUCUAAGAAUUUCUCUACUGGUGGAAGGACAGCAGAUAGGGAGGUGGGGCGCAAAGGUGAUUCUUUCUUUAAGAGACAAAAUCUGUCUUAUUCACUUUGUAGUUUGAAAAUUGAUUUUAAAAAGACACUUUUAGCCAUGUUUUUUUUUAAAUAUUAAAUAGAGAGACGUCAUUUUAUUUCCUAGGUAUGUCUUUUACAACAGGGCCGAAGUUUUUUCUUGUUGAAUACAUGUCUACGUAAGUCUAGCGACGUAUUUCUCACGUCACAACUCUCAAAUUUCCAUCAUUAGUUGACAAGCUCAAUGAACCUUUAUAUUGUUUUUGUUGUCAUUCAUGACUGGGGGGGGGGGGUGUCAAAGGCAAAAAUUGAUUGUAGAAACAAUGUGCUGUGAGUUCACACAAAAAAAUAAUUUUAGAAUAAGGGGUUCUGCCCAUGCCAUCAAGUUGCGUAACUAUAAGCAUGGCCAGUAGUAUACACGCAUUGAGCAGAACAUCGCCAUGUAGUCACUUGUUCAGAGUUUUAAAAUGUUCUCAAGAAAUAGGAACGAAACUUUAGCCAUUUUGUCGUUGAUUUUGAAAGCAGUAAAUAAAUAUUCCGUUUGUUCAGUUUAAAGAAGUAGCUUAGACUGGGUACAGGUUAAAUCAUUUUUUGUUACAAAUAGAAAAACAAAACCUAGUAAAAUACUCAGAAAGACGCAAAGAUAGAGGCACAUUUCUUAUUCCAUAUGCUAGAACUAAUUCGUACAAGUGCUCCUUCUUCCCUAGUGCCUUUAUAGAAUGGAAUGUGUUGUCCGAAUCAGCCAGGAAAACCAACGACUUAGCAGAGUUUAACUGAUUGAUUAGCAUGCAUGAUUAGAUUGACGCACGAAAUGCAUAGGACGUAAUUAUCUUCUUCUUUGAAGUAACGUCUGUAAUUGAUAAGAAUAAGAUACCAAGAUAACAAGCUCUGUCAUAUAGCGAGCUCUGUACUUUUAGAAAUCUGGUCCAAUCUUUUUAUUGAACAUGUUCACAUGUUUAUAAACGCAAUAAUUAACGCAUGCAUACUUUCACUCAAUCACAAGGAAAAAUUAGAUGUUAAAAUAAGAUGAUUGAAUCAAUUAAGACAAUAUUUUAUUUAGUCUUUCAUUAGGUCGACAGAUGAAAACAAUUUAAGUAAGAAAGAAAUUCGACUUUUAAAAGGGAAAGUGCAUACACACAUGAUGCUCUACUACGAAAGAAAUGUAUAGUUCACUAAUACCCCAAAUAACGCAGCAACUGGGUCAAAAGUAAGCUGGCCUGUUCUUGACUGUACCUCUCUGAAUUCAGCUGCUGGAUGACCUGCUGGACCAAA